rnacentral:misc_RNA from 1 species
AAUUCUCAACCUUCCCAACUUUGGGUUAGGAUUGGAUUCUGGGAAUUGCUGGUUGAAGUCAGCUCUCCUUAAAUGCAUUAGCAAGAUCAAUCGCUGGAUCAAUUGUGAUAUGAUAAUUAUCUAUAUCAUCAAUGAGACGGUGUUUUCCUUUUCAAAGGGAAAGAUCUAGCUUCUAAUAGUCUCUUAUUAGAGACAAUUCAUUGACU